rnacentral:rRNA from 1 species
UACAGAGGUCCCGAGCGUUAGGCGGAAUCACUGGGCUUAAAGCGUGUGUAGGCGGAUCGGUAAGUACCUUGUGAAAUCCCACAGCUUAACUGUGGAACUGCUUGGUAUACUGCCAGUCUUGAGCCAGCUAGGGGCUACCGGAACAAAUGGUGGAGCGGUGAAAUGCGUAGAUAUCAUUUGGAACGCCAAUGGUGAAAACAGGUAGCUGGGGCUGUGCUGACACUGAGACACGAAAGCCAGGGGAGCGAACGGG